UGGUGUAAAAUGUGCUGAAGCUGUAGAACCAGCAGUUGCCGUCGUUAAAGAAAAGCUUGGUGAAAACUAUGAGAUCUCAGUACCAAAACCGAUGAAACCUAGACUGAAGAUUGUUGGUGUGGCUGAUAAGCUCUCUGAAAGCGAACUUAAGGAAUGUAUAAUGGAACAGAAUGAAGCAGUUAAUUUGACUGAUUUGAAAUUAAUUACAUGUUUCAAUUCAGUGCGUAAUGACAUCACGACUUACAAUUUUAUAAUCGAGGUGAACGCUGAUGCUAAUGACUCCAUGCUGAAGUUAGGUCGUGUGAACAUUGGUUGGGAAAGAUGUAGAGUGUUUGAAUGCUUCGGGAUUGUGCGUUGUUUUAAAUGUUGUGCCUAUGGACAUAAGAGCAAUGAGUGCAAUCAUCCUCAAAUAUGUUCUAAAUGUGCUGGUGAACAUGCUUCGGCUGUUUGCGAAUCAACAACAGUGUGCUGCGCUAACUGUACUCAGAUGAACAAAAAUCAGAAAUUAAACUUGGACACAAUACAUGAAGCAUACAGUUUGGAAUGCCCAGUGUAUAAGAAACUUGUUGAACGGAGACGCCAAUAUAUUCACCGCGCUGAAUAGCAAUCACUUGAUGCCGCCAUGAAGUCAUCUCCAGAUUCCGAUACCGCCAUGCCUUACUCUCUAGUUCCUGUUAUCGACAUGAUUUUUUCUCCAGCCAUUGAUUGAAAUAGAUGCUUCCGAUUCCGUCUCCGUCAACACCUGUUUACUGUGUGAAAAUGAUGCUUCCGAUUCAGUUACCGUCUCUCGCCUGUCGACCGUCAUCCCAGAUGAUUCAUCCGCCAUGAUUUCUUCUCUAGAUCCUGAUACCGCCAUGAAUUUUUCUCCAGCCACCAAUUGACACAGAUGCUUCCGACUCAGUCGUCAACUACUGUUUGCCGUCAACGCUUGAAAAAUAUGUCUCCGAUUCUGUACCCAUCACUUGUAUAUCGACUGUCAUCCCAGAUCCUGGUGCCGCCACG